GUUUUAGUUAUCAUGGCUCUGUUGAUGGUAGGAGAGAAUUGAAGCUGAAAGCUUAUUUGCCUCAAAAGAAGCUGAAGAGGAGGCUAAAAAGGAAUCUGUUAAAACAUUCAUACCAGGUGAGGUUCUAAAUGUUCCAGAGCUUCCAAAGGAAGAAGCACCACCUAAAGUAGUCGCCCCGACACCAGAGCAAAUAAUUGCUAUUAAGGCUGCUAUAGUGAAUUCCCAGACUCUGGAAGAGGUUGCAAGACUUGAAAAGGCAUUGAAAGCAGGCCAGCUACCUGCAGAUCUGAAGAUCCAAGAUGAUGUUACAAUGACAGAUGGUGUCGAUCCCAAAGAUGACAACAUGGAAAUGGACUCUCAAAAUGAAGUUAACAGGGAGCAAGACACUGAGGACCAACAGGCCAGUAACAGUCCUACCAGUUGAGCAAGCAUGUAUUGUCUUGUCCUAUGGACAAACAGGGUGUUUCCAGCAGCCAAUCUUCUUAGGUCUCAUUGUUUUAGUUCCAGUCUGUCGAGUUAGUGACAGUUUCUGGAUAAUGUGGAGAUUGUUCUGCGGUGGCCGACUAUUUCCAAUCCUUUUAAAUGCCUAUCCAAGUAACAGGAAAUUAUUGUCAUGAAGCCAUUUCGUUAGAUGAACCAAGUCAGUGUAAGGACUAUGGGUUGUUAUUAGCAAUCAAUUAAAAAUUGAUAUUUUGCUUGCUAUUAAAGCACAGUCGACCUAAAACAAUUUGGUGCAAAAAAUGGUGGAAUUAGCAAGAGGUACCAUUUGAUGAUGCAGAUUUUGCCCUAAUUGGAGGAGCUUAUUUAGGAGUGUUGUAUUUUAUAUGCUUAAUUCUGUAAUGAAAUUCAGUAGUUUCCUGA